CCCUAUUAUUUUAGAAUGUUAAAUUUUGUGCCUGAGUAGUAUUAGUUAUGUUCUUGAAACUUAAAGAAUUUGGCGGUAUCUCAUUCCGUCCAGAGGAAUCUGUCCCGUUAUCGAUAGUCCACGUUGGACCUUACUUGGUUAAUAUAUGGUUUGUAUACCGCCGUUUAUUGAUUAUCUUUUUAGAGGUUUACUUUAAUUUUCUAGUUUCUUUAUUUUGAUGUAUUUCAGGUCAAGGUGCAGCUUGUUUCUAAGUGGAAUGAUGGAUUACAUUGUUAUUUGUUUUUGGAUUGUUGAUUUUAAUAUUGGCAUGAAAUUGGAUUUGGUUGUAAUGAUUUAUAGAUUGUUAUUGUGAUAAUUGGUUCUGAGAUAUGUACACAUCGCCCGUCGCUCUCGUUUUUAUAUUAUAAUGAGAUAAGUC
rnacentral:rRNA from 1 species